rnacentral:rRNA from 1 species
CAACGGUAGGUCAGUAUGCCCCGAACUCUCCCGGGCUACACGCGGGCUACAAUGGUUAGGUACAAUGGGCAGUCUACCCCGAAACGGGGAAGGAAAUCUCUUAAAGCCAAUCGUAGUUCGGAUUGAGGGCUGCAACUCGCCCUCAUGAAGCUGGAAUCCGUAGUAAUCGCGUUUCAACAGAACGCGGUGAAUACGUCCCUGCUCCUU